AAUGAACGCUGGCGGCGUGCCUAACACAUGCAAGUCGAACGAGAAAUUCCCUGCUUGCAGGGGAGAGUAAAGUGGCGCACGGGUGAGUAACGCGUGAGUAACCUGUCCUUGAAUCUGGGAUAACUUCGCGAAAGCGACGCUAAUACCGGAUAUUGUCCCAGGGACCGUGGUCCUUGUGAUGAAAGGUGACCUCUUCAAGAAAGUUGUCGUUCAGGGAGGGGCCCGCGUACCAUUAGCUAGUUGGUAGGGUAAUGGCCUACCAAGGCGAUGAUGGUUAGCUGGUCUGAGAGGAUGACCAGCCACACUGGCACUGAAACACGGGCCAGACUCCUACGGGA
rnacentral:rRNA from 1 species